GAUGAACGCUGGCGGCGUGCUUAACACAUGCAAGUCGAACGAAGCACUUUAUUUGAUUUCCUUCGGGACUGAUUAUUUUGUGACUGAGUGGCGGACGGGUGAGUAACGCGUGGGUAACCUGCCUUGUACAGGGGGAUAACAGUUGGAAACGGCUGCUAAUACCGCAUAAGCGCACAGCAUCGCAUGAUGCAGUGUGAAAAACUCCGGUGGUAUAAGAUGGACCCGCGUUGGAUUAGCUAGUUGGUGAGGUAACGGCCCACCAAGGCGACGAUCCAUAGCCGACCUGAGCGGGUGACCCGCCACAUUGGGACUGCGACCCAGCCCAAACUCCUACGGGAGGAAGCAGUGGGGAAUAUUGCACAAUGGGCGAAAGCCUGAUGCCGCGACGCCGCGUGAGCGAAGAAGUAUUUCGGUAUGUAAAGCUCUCUCAGCAGGGAAGAUCAUGACGGUACCUGACUAAGAAGCACCGGCUAAAUACGUG
rnacentral:rRNA from 1 species